UCGCCUGUUUAUCAAAAACAUGGUUUUUUGUUUAUAUAAAAAAUUUGGCCUGCCCAGUGAUUAUUAAAUGGCUGCAGUAUAUUGACUGUACAAAGGUAGCAUAAUCAUUUGUCUUUUAAUUGAAGUCUGGAAUGAAUGGUUGGAUGAAAAAUUUACUUUCUUUAUUUUAAAAAAAUAAUUUAAUUUUUGUAUUAAAAAGUAUAAAUAUUAAUAAAAGACGAGAAGACCCUAUAGAACUUUAUUUUUUUAUAUUAGUUAUUUUUUAGUGAAUGAUUAUUAAUUAAUAAAAGAAAAUUUUGUUGGGGUGACAAAAAAAAAUUUAUAACUUUUUUUAAUUUAUUCAUAUAUAUAUGAUUUAUUGAUCCUUUAUUAAGGAAAAAAGAUUAAGUUACCUUAGGGAUAACAGCGUUAUUAUUUCAGAGAGUUCAUAUUGAUGAAAUAGUUUGCGACCUCGAUGUUGGAUUAAAAUUAAUUUCAGGAGUAGAAAAUUGAAAUAUUAGGUCUGUUCGACCUUUAAAUUUUUACAUGAUCUGAGUUCAAACCGGAGA
rnacentral:rRNA from 1 species